rnacentral:rRNA from 1 species
GACGAACGCUGGCGGCGUGCUUAACACAUGCAAGUCGAACGGAAAGGCCCUGCUUUUGUGGGGUGCUCGAGUGGCGAACGGGUGAGUAACACGUGAGUAACCUGCCCUUGACUUUGGGAUAACUUCAGGAAACUGGGGCUAAUACCGGAUAGGAGCUCCUGCUGCAUGGUGGGGGUUGGAAAGUUUCGGCGGUUGGGGAUGGACUCGCGGCUUAUCAGCUUGUUGGUGGGGUAGUGACUUACCAAGGCCUUGACGGGUAGCCGGCCUGAGAGGGUGACCGGCCACAUUGGGACUGCGAUACGGCCCAGACUCCUACGGGAGGCAGAAGUGGGGAAUAUUGCACAAUGGGCGGAAGCCUGAUGCAGCAACGCCGCGUGCGGGAUGACGGCCUUCGGGUUGUAAACCGCUUUCGCCUGUGACGAAGCGUGAGUGACGGUAAUGGGUAAAGAAGCACCGGCUAACUACGUG